rnacentral:lncRNA from 1 species
CUGGUUUCAAAAUCAGUAUUAGCAGAAGAUGUAUCACUUAAAACAUUUAAAUCGUUUUCUUCAAAAUCACUUAAAUCAGAAUUUUCAGAAUCUGUAUCAGAUAGUAAAAGAUUAAGCAACUGAUUUUUAAGUUUGUCAGAGACAUCUAAAGCAUUGAUUUUUUCUUUCAUCCUACACUGGGAUUUAAAAUGACCAACACACGUCCACACUUAUAGCAAACAUGAGGACUUUUCUUUUUAUUAUUUUUAUUUUUAUUUUUGUUUUGAGAAAUGUUUUUGGAUGAAAAAGGUUUUUGAAAAUUCAAAGUAUUUCUUCUAUAAUUUUUAUUAGAAGAUUUUCUUUUCAAAUAAUU